rnacentral:rRNA from 1 species
UUAAUGUCCAGGAGAGUGGCCAGCUGCAUGGCUGGUUGACUAGAGAUUUAUCGGUAUGGGAUGAGCUUGCGUCCGAUUAGCUAGUUGGCGGGGCAACGGCCCACCAAGGCGACGAUCGGUAGCCGGCCUGAGAGGGUGAUCGGCCACAUUGGGACUGAGAUACGGCCCAGACUCCUACGGGAGGCAGCAGUAGGGAAUAUUGCACAAUGGGGGAAACCCUGAUGCAGCAACGCCACGUGUGGGAAGAAGCAUUUCGGUGUGUAAACCACUGUCAUGAGGGAAUAAGGCCCGCCUUCGGGCGGGAUUGAAUGUACCUUGAGAGGAAGCACCGGCAAACUUCGUGCCAGCAGCCGCGGUAAUACGAGGGGUGCAAGCGUUGUUCGGAAUUACUGGGCGUAAAGGGAGCGUAGGCGGAGAUUCAAGCGGAUUGUACAAUCCCGGGGCCCAACCCCGGCUCUGCAGUCCGAACUGGAUCUCUUGGAUAGUUCAGGGGCAGGCGGAAUUCCUGGUGUAGCGGUGGAAUGCGUAGAGAUCAGGAAGAACACCGAUGGCGAAGGCAGCCUGCUGCGGACUUAUCGACGCUGAGGCUCGAAAGUGCGGGUAGCAAACAGGAUUAGAUACCCUGGUANUCCGCACCGUANACAAUGCAUACUGGGUGUCCGGG